UAGGGAAUCUUCGGCAAUGGACGAAAGUCUGACCGAGCAACGCCGCGUGAGUGAAGAAGGUUUUCGGAUCGUAAAACUCUGUUGUUAGAGAAGAACUAGGACGUUAGUAACUGAACGUCCCCUGACGGUAUCUAACCAGAAAGCCACGGCUAACUACGUGCCAGCAGCCGCGGUAAUACGUAGGUGGCAAGCGUUGUCCGGAUUUAUUGGGCGUAAAGCGAGCGCAGGCGGUUUCUUAAGUCUGAUGUGAAAGCCCCCGGCUCAACCGGGGAGGGUCAUUGGAAACUGGGAGACUUGAGUGCAGAAGAGGAGAGUGGAAUUCCAUGUGUAGCGGUGAAAUGCGUAGAUAUAUGGAGGAACACCAGUGGCGAAGGCGGCUCUCUGGUCUGUAACUGACGCUGAGGCUCGAAAGCGUGGGGAGCAAACAGG
rnacentral:rRNA from 1 species